rnacentral:rRNA from 1 species
AGUGAACGCUGGCGGUAGGCCUAACACAUGCAAGUCGAACGGCAGCACAGUAAGAGCUUGCUCUUACGGGUGGCGAGUGGCGGACGGGUGAGGAAUACAUCGGAAUCUACUUUUUCGUGGGGGAUAACGUAGGGAAACUUACGCUAAUACCGCAUACGACCUACGGGUGAAAGCAGGGGAUCUUCGGACCUUGCGCGAUUGAAUGAGCCGAUGUCGGAUUAGCUAGUUGGCGGGGUAAAGGCCCACCAAGGCGACGAUCCGUAGCUGGUCUGAGAGGAUGGUCAGCCACACGGGAACUGGAACACGGGCCAGGACCCUAAGGGAGGCAGCAGUGGGGAAUAUUGGACAAUGGGCGGAAACCUGAUCCAACCAUACCGCGUGGGUGGAAGAAGCCUUCGGGGUGGAAAGCCCUUUUGUUGGGAAAGAAAAGCAGCAGGUUAAUACCCCGCUGUUCCGACGGUACCCAAAGAAUAAGCACCGGCUAACUUCGUG